rnacentral:lncRNA from 1 species
CUCCUUUUAUCAAGAUUCCCCUCUUCAAUCUAUCCUAUAGAAUCAAGAAAAUUAGCUUAAUAUUCCAAGAAUUUGUACAGAAUCAGAGUAAUUUUUGUGUGAUUAAUUUACAGGGAGACUGGCAAUGUUGGCAUUCCUAGGGUUUGUGGUUCAACACAAUGUGACUGGAAAAGGGCCAUUUGAGAACCUCUUGCAGCACCUGUCUGACCCAUGGCACAACACAAUUGUCCAAACACUCCGGGGUUGAUGGGUUACCACUAUUCCCAGCAGGAAUGAAGUGAAGAAAUCAUGUAACUUUGUCUUGUAUACCAUGAAUACAUGGUUUUGACUGAGAAUUUGGGCUUUAAUGUACCUUUAUUGUACAGGGGAAGUAAGAUUGCAAUAUAUCAUUUAUAUUAACUUCAACAAGCUCCUACAACAAGCAAAAUAACAAUCUAACAAGAUGCAUUGAAAUCAAAAAUUGUACAGGAUCGCCCUUGUCUACUUAUUUUUCAGAGUUUAUAGUUUACAACUGCGGUAAUUGAAAACCGCACAUCUAGGGGUGAGACCAAAGAUCUAGGUAAACAGAAGCAGCUAAUCACAUAGAUGAAACCCUGAUCUUAUACAUUUUUAGCCAUAAUGCUUUAAACUCAUUAGGCAUUCCACAGCCUUCAAAUAUCACAAACUUUUAGUCCGAGCAAAAGUUGUUUACAUGAGUCAGAUGAGUUUCUCAGAUAACAUGUUUCAGUUUCUAAAUUUGAUCUGGCUGCUGCAAGAAAUAAUAGAAUUAUGAAGAAACUAGAGAACAUCAGCAACUACUCAUAGAGUUAAUGAUAGGUAGCAUUUAUUUCAGUCAUAGAAUAUAUGUCAAUAGGAUGAUACCAUGUCUGUUUAUAUUAUAAAAUAUUUAUUGCUCCAAUUUAUCAAAAGAAAAAAGAAAAAGUUGAUCCAUAUCAGAAGACCAUAUAAUCUCAUGUGCCUACCUACAUUCAAGUAACUUCCAUCAUCACAGUGCUUCACUCCCUGUUUCGUGGGUGACUUAUAAGCUGGUCAACCCAACUUAUAACUACUUUUUUUACCAUUUGAGUGUUCAUAUGCGACUCAUUUUUUAAUUUAUAACUUAUAAGUAGUGUUUGAGAAGUAACAAUUUCUUACUUCUCAAAAACAGACUUGUAAGUCAUUUUAAAAUAAGUAGGAUUGACCAAAUGUAAAGACUAUUUUACCCGUAUUUUACUAAUUUUUCGUACUUAUUUUAACUUAUAAGUCAUUUUGGCCAAACACUUUUACAACUUGUUUUAACUUAAUUUCUUAUAAAUCAAAAUGAUGUCGAACACUUUUAUUUACAAGUCACAACUUAAAAAAACUUAUAAGUCAUUUUAAAAUAAGUCAUUCCUGAACAGGCCUGGCAAAUUUGGUCAUCAACAACACGUGAUAUCUACAAAACCAUUUUAUUUGAAAUAUGUAAAGAACACAAUGUGCAAGAAUUGCACAAUGAAACUUGAAAUAACCUCUUCAAUAUACCCUCAUCUGAUCUUAUACAGACCAAAAAAUCCAUAUUUCCACAAAGACCCUCAUAAAGUAUAGCAAUUAUACUAACAUUCUACAUUGUUAAAAAACAAGAUGUCAUAUGGAAGUUUUGAAAAUCAAUGUCUCAACCUGUCAACCACAUAAUGCAACGUCUAUAAAAUUUUUAAUGAACAUCUAAAUCAUAUCCUAGAUGUGCUAGAUAAUUUAGAUGUAAAAUAAACAUCUAAACCAUGUCUGGGAUUCUGGCACAUAUGGGAACAUGGUUGACGUGAUCAUGGGUGUUAUGCACAACAUAAAAAAAACAUGGCUACUUUUACAGAAAUGCAGCUUCUGUUUUUCUUUUUUCAGUUCCUUAGUUGUACUCUAACCGUUCAUGCCACAUAGCAUGAGACUCUUGGAAAAGACUAGAAUGUAAUCUCUCCAGUAUUGUAUGUGUAAGACCACCAAAUAAUCUUAAUUUGAUUUAUACUGCAGUCAGAUAAUUAUUUACUGAUUAAAAUCUUAUAAUGUUGAGAAAAGCACCAACCAGUCAAGAGAAAUGCUUACCUUUGAGAAUGAGCUCAGCAUGGCAAUGGCGCAAGUCCCUGAUUCAUGGAUUCAGGGAUCCAGGUAUGAUGCACGUUGUAGAUGGGUCUAAAAAGUCCAAAAUUUCUACUGAUGUGAUAAUCCACAGGGUUUUCUUGCAAUUUUCCCUCUGUAUCAGGCUUUGUUCUUUCCACAUUUAGAGAAAUUUGCAUUCCUAUAGGGAUGGAGUGGAUAUUGCUCAUUGAGUUGUAGUUUAAGGCAAUCUAUACUACUUAGUUCAUUAAGGGUGUCAACGCCAAUAUCUUUUCUCACGUCCCAAUCACCAAGACGUGUCCGAUAUCCUGCACAAUUCAAUAAGUCAACACCAAAAGCUUGACGGUUUGACCGUCGGGGGAUAGCUCCGGCGUGAGAGUCAGUAUCGGCGAUCACAAAGUUAACAAUAGAGGAAUAAUAUGUCUAGUGUAUUGAGAGAGAGAAUAAUUUGGAUAAGUGAUUUGUUUUGUUAUCUGUUUCCCUUGUGUGAUCGUUGUCCCAUAUGCACUCCAAACCCGGUUUACCGUACCACCCACUACUGUCUGACACAGCCCCCCAUCCCCAGUCAUCUCAGCCGAAAGUGUGCAACUCACCCACUAUCUGCUACCACUAUUUGCCACCGCCGGUCAUCUGAGUCCCAUCCUCAUUAAUGCCAUGCAGAAACGUGACAGAUAACAGUCAACUGUUAUAUUUUUGUAAUGAUUACCGGUCAAAGAUGGGAUAAGAGACAGUUUGUGUAAUGGGCCGAUCCAAUGACUAAGCCCAAAUGCAAUAAAGAUGACCCAUUGACCGGAAUGACCCAAUAGAAUGGUCAAAUGACUUGGUGUAAGCUAUUCGGCCCAAAAGAACAAAUAUAACAGUCCAAGGGAGGAACCCAUUAGGUCCGGCACAAUAGUGAAAGUAUCAUGGCCCAACAUUGUCCCCCAGUCUUUUAUUAAACAGGAUGUUUAAUGAAAGACUGUUAAUAAUAUAGGCCCAUGAUAAAAUGAAUUGUAAUAAGCUAGAAGGGGUUAAGAGAAAUAUCACCGAGGCUCAACUGAUAGGUGCUAGCCAAUAAAAUAAAAUUGAGGCCCAAAAGAGAGAAGCCCAGUCCGGUUAAAGCAUUAAACUCAAAUUUGGACGCUACCCCUUCCCAUUCGCUAUCAUUGCUGCUAAUUAAAUGUGCCGCCCUCGUGUACCGUGUAACCGUCAGUAUAAAAGGUAACUUUCCCCCAAAUUGACAACUUUACCUAUCAAAUUGAAUUUCAGACGCCCUUUCAAGCUCUAGCCUUCUUCUUUCUCAAAUUUCUUUCUCUUAUCUGCAAAUUGUCAACAAUGGCAACAGGUUCAUCGAAUACCAACCAACUUUCCCCACUUCGCAUAACCCCCAUCACUACUGUUG